GAUUCUUUCCUGCCUGAGGUCUUUCAAAGAGCAAUACUACAAAGAGGGCGAGAGUGCAGCACAAGCCCAGCAGUGAAGUAGCUGGACAUUUUCUGGACAACAGCACCCACAAAACCUUAUUCAGCUACUUUCAAGUUUAUAGUGAUUGCGAGGUAAAGAAGACAACAGGAGAGAUGGAAAAACAGCGGUCUUACCACUGCAGCUCUGUGCAUUAAUUGCUGCAGGAGGAUAUGCAAAGGGAGCAAGGACAGAUAUUCUGGUGCCUAGGAUGAUUACAGUACUGAAGAGAAAUGAAAGAAAUACAUGAUCUGGUUUAGAAAAUGGAGAUGUACAGCUCUCAAUCCCUAUCCACUCAAGCUCUGUGUUACAUCUGGGAAGCUUCUGAAACAUUUGUGGAUCAAAGUUUAAAUGGGGGUUUGUGUCAUGAAUUCUUAUGCACUGGAAGGAGAAUAAUCUGUCCAAAAAGACAUCUGAAGAGACAACUGAGG
rnacentral:lncRNA from 1 species